AGGAUAGAUCUGUGAUCGAUAAGCAGACGUGGAAUAGCUGAUGGAGAGCUUUGGCCCCUGAUUGGCUACUGAUUUGAGAUGGGGAUGUUCAGAGCCCAGAUUGUGCUGGCUUCUCUGUGCUUUCAAGGACACAGGGAGAUGAUGAGGACUUUGGGAGCUAACAUCUGCCUGGCUGAUGACGUCAGCGGUCCCGUGUAAUCCUCUUGUGCUAAAGGCAGUUGCCUUAUUUGUUUGGCUGUAUUGCCAUUAAUCCCUAAUUCUGGAUCAGCAAGCGAGGGGAAAAGACCGCACCACUGCAUCGUCAUUGCCAAAAAUAUCAAGAGAUGCUCCCAUUUUGCAGCUAAGGCUUGGUGACUGAGCUACAAUGCCUCCUUCCCUCUCUGGUACUGACUAACAUGGAUCCCUGGGCUUGAGAAGCGGAUCACUCCUUACAUUGUGGUGUCAUUGUAACAUUUGGAAAUGAAACCUUACGGAUCCACCCAUUCCCAUGACUGAAAGUGGGUCUGCAGCUGACAGAUAUGUCAUUUCCCAGUCUUCGUCCUGAUGCCAUAGCACAGAUCCACCAAUAGAGGUCAACCUUGCCCAGUUCUAGGGCUUUCCUUACUGCCCACAAAUUGACUCCAGAAUGGUUAAUGUCCUCUUUACCAUCUCCACUUCUCCUCGACUUACUUCUCACAGUGAGAAUCAAUAUGGAUGCCACAUCAGUUUAAGCAUUUAAAGGGCAGUGAAAGGCGUAGAUUCCUCAAUUCCUUUUUUUUUUUUUUUUUUUUUUUGUACGAACAGAGCAACUGUAGCCAGGCCAUAUGGACUGUACGUACUCGCUAGGGAAUGGGCAGGUGCGAUUGAGUUAUUUUUGCUUCCCAUUAUAAGGAAAGACAACUCGUCCAGACCUUUCCUUUUAAGUUCAUCUGUUCAAAAGAGGACUCAA